rnacentral:lncRNA from 1 species
UAAAACCUCACAGCCCACAGAUAUAAGGAAUUUCAGGCCUAUCAGUCUCUGUAAUGUUCUUUAUAAGAUAAUAGCUAAAGUAUUGGCUCAUAGAUUUCAAAGGGUCUUAGAGGUUUGUAUUGAUAAAGCUCAAAGCGCAUUUGUUCCAGGCAGAUUGAUCACGGAUAAUGUGCUUGUGGCCUAUGAGAUUCUGCAUACGAUGAAAAACAAAAGAGGGAAAGUAAGACAUAUGGCUCUUAAACUGGAUAUGAGCAAAGCCUAUGAUAGGGUUGAAUGGGAAUUUCUUAGGAUUAUGAUGGAAAGGAUGGGUUUUGCACAAUCUUGGGUGGCUUUGAUUAUCAAAUGUAUUUCAACAGUUUCCUACUCAGUUCUUUUAAAUGGCAAAAAGGGAGAAAUUUUCAAACCGAUGAGAGGACUUCGUCAAGAGGACCCCAUAUAGUGAAGGUCUUUCCUCAAUCCUACGCUCAGCUCUAAUGAGUAAGGAAAUCACCGGCUUAAAAGCUAGUAGACAAGGACCUAGGACCUCACACCUCCUAUUUGCGGAUGAUUGUAUCAUUUUUGGUGAGGCAACAGAUACAGGUGCUCGAAAGCUUAAGGAUGUUUUGGUCAAAUAUGAAGGUUGGUCAGGUCAGUGCGUGAAUUUUGCAAAGUCCAUAAUAUUUUUUAGUACGAAUACUACAGAAGAAAAUAAGUUACUAGUCACGGGGUUAUUAGGAAUGAGAAGAUCAUCGGAUAUCGAGACAUAUCUAGGUCUGCCUAAUUUGAUUGGGAGGAAAAAUAAAAUUUUUUUCCAAAAGAUAAAAGACAAGAUGAAGAAGAGAAUUGACGGAUGAAGCUUUAGGUUUCUGUCACGGGGGAAAAGAGGUUUUUAUUAAAUCAGUUUUGCAAGCAACCCCAACUUACUCAAUGAUGUGCUUUCUUUUGCCAAAAACUCUAUGUGAGGAAAUGGAAUCAAUUAUUGCAAGUUAUUGGUGGCAGAAGGGUAGAGGUCGAAAAGGGAUUCAUUGGUGCAGUUGGAAGACCAUUUGCAUGAUGAAGUCUGAUGGGGUGUUAGGGUUUCGAGAUAUGGUAAAGUUUAAUGUGGCUUUACUCGCUAAGCAGGGUUGGCGAUUAUUAGAGUAUCCAGAUUCAUUAGUAGCACAGGUUUUAAAAGCGAAGUAUUAUCCGAAUACGACCUUUCUACAAGCAGGACUAGGACACAGACCUUUAUACACGUGGAAAAGUAUUUGGGCAGCCAAAGGGCUUAUCGAAGAGGGAUUGGGGUGGAGAGUUGGGAAUGGGGAGAGUAUUUUAAUCAAUGAGGAUGCGUGGCUGCCUGGUGUAGCUAACAACAGAAUUCGUUAGCCCACUUCUAAUACUGCUAUUACUACUAUUGCAGAGUUGAUUGAUGAUAAUAGUAGGGAAUGGAAGGAAGAACUAAUUUGCAAGACCUUCGAGGCAACCGACGCGGAUGGCGUUAGACGAGCAUGCGGAUAUGGUCAUCUGGCGUGGAGAGCCCUCGGGUAAGUUCACUGUGCGUAGUGCUUAUCAACUUUUGCAGACUCAAGCUUACACAUCAGAUUACAAUGCUACACAAAAUACAGCAAAACCUUUCUACAAAAGACUUUGGACACUUUAACUACCAAAUAAAAUUAAAAUUAUGCUAUGGAGGGCUGCUCGAAAUUAUAUUCCUACGAUGGCCAAUCUGUAUCAGCGAAGAGUGGUUCGUGUUGAUAUGUGUCUCAGAUGCAAAGAGGGUCCUGAGAAUUUGUGGCAUGUGUUUGUUGGAUGUCCUGUGGCAACAGAAUUAUAGAAUGGAUUAGACCUUGCAUGGAUAAAUCAAGGGGAACCCAGAGAAUGGAUUGAUUGGCUUACAUGGAUCUUUAAUCAAUGCGGAGAAGCUCAGUGUCGGCUAGUUGCCUAUGGAUUGUGGGUCUUAUGACGUGACAGAAACAGAAACCUGCAUGAGAGGAAGUCAUAUACAUGGGAAGAUUGAGUAAAAUAUGUUCAUUUCUAUAUCGGUGAAAUAGAUGGUUUGAAUGGGAAACAUCAAAAAAGCUUUCAGGAUGCUGAAAAAUGGGAAGCCCCAGAGAACCCAAUAAUUAAAAUCAAUUUUGAUGCUUCGUUCGAUAGCACAACUUACAGAUCGGUAUCGGGGAUAGUGGCAAGAUCUGGAGAAGGAGAGGUUGAAAUUUCUAAAUCUCAACUGCAUCUAGCGGUUGAUACGGCUUUUGAUGCAGAGGCAAUUGCUUGUUACGGCGCAGUCCUCACUGGCUUAGAAAUGGGCUACACAAAGGUUGUUAUUGAGGGCGACUCCAAGUCCAUCAUAACCAAAUGCAUGGCGCAAUCAGUGGACAAAUCGCAAGUUAGUGCGCAUAUUCGAAAUAUUCAAAGAGAAAAAAGCAAAUUUCAGACCAUUACUUUCCGUUAUGCUCCAAGAUCAGCUAAUCGCUUAGCCCACAUCGUUGCGACAACAAGCUUGAAGGAAAUGAAGAUGAUUUACCUGCGUGGAGAGGUCCCCGGCUACGCCAAUCAUCAAUGGCUACUGGAGCGCCCACGAGAACUGGAUUGAAACGAUGAAAAGGGAAAUGGAAAAGGGGGCGUUGAGAGCGUCCCAAAUAAAAUCUUUCAGGCUUUCUCCAGUGAAAAUGAAGAGGAAGAGACGUUGGGCAAAUGGCAAAGCUGGAGACAGACACUAUAAUGGAUGGGGAUUUUAAUUUUAUUUGUUUUAAUUAGUUGUGGUUUUUGGGUUUCUUUUAGCCGUCGUUUAAGUUUCCUUUAUGUCUGUUGAUUUGAUUAGUUUUCUAUUGAUGUUACCAGAACAUUUAUUAGUUUUGUUUCCAAUAAAAUAUCUCCAACCCUUAUUUAGUCAAAAAAAAAAA